GAUGAAGAACGUAGCGAAAUGCGAUAAGUAAUGCGAAUUGCAGAAUCCGUGAGUCAUCGAAUCUUUGAACGCACAUUGCGCCCUCUGGUAUUCCGGAGGGCAUGCCUGUUCGAGCGUCAUUAUCACCCCUCAAGCCCGGCUUGUUGUUGGAUGCAGCGCUUAUCCCGCUCCUCCCAAAGAUAAUGACGGCGUCUGCGACGACUCCUGUACACUGAGCUUUCGGGCACGUACACGGCUAGAAGUCCAGACCCGGUCGCCGUCCCCCCCGCGGUGACACCCAUUACCACAAGGUUGACCUCGGAUCAGGUAGGAAUACCCGCUGAACUUAAGCAUAUCAAUAAGCGGAGGA
rnacentral:misc_RNA from 1 species